rnacentral:lncRNA from 1 species
UAUAUAACAAGCUUUAAGGGGACUCCACCCAUAAUAAAGAUAACAAAAAGAAUAGUUUGUUAGCUGUCUUCUGCCCUUUUCAUUUCAUUUUUCUACUUAAGGGCCUUCACCUUUUGGGAUUCAAGUGUCAAAAACUGGUAAAAUUUCUUGAAACUACUCUUGAAUUCUCAUUAAUGCUGUGUCCUUUGCCAGUUUCUUGGUUUCAAAUCUUUAUCUAGCUCUUGCUGAUUGGUUACUGGCUGGUCUGGUAAUUAUCAGUCAUAUUCUUGAAACAGCUGCUUGUUUUUUUUUUUCGUUAUAUUCUUAGCUCUGUUUUGAUCUGAAUCUAUUCUGUUGCUUUCCACUUAUAUUUGUUUGAUGAGGGACUUUUGUUUAGGUAGGAAAUAUUACUUUCAUAGCUUGAUUUACAUGUUAAAGAUCACUUUUUUAAAUAGUUUCUUGCACGCUUCUGAGCUGUAAUCUUUAUUUGUUGCUUGGUUUAAGAAGAGUAAAGUGGGAAGUUUGGUUUCUUGAUUUUUGGGAGGAAUUGGUUGAGCUAGGAAGCUUUUAAGUUAAGGGGGUACUUUUCUCUAUGUUUAGGUGGUUUUUGGAUAGACAAAUAAGGUUUUGGUUUGUUAAUUGGUUUAGUUAGAUAGUGAAAAGUGAAGGGUUAAAACAGAAAAUGGUCUCAAGGUCAUACUCAAACCUCUUGGAGCUCGCCUCCGGAGAGGCUCCGGCACCGUCUUUAGGAAGUAUUAGCCGGAGGAUUCCACGAAUUAUGACGGUAGCCGGUAUCAUGUCUGAUCUGGAUGAUGAUGCUUCAGACAGUGUGUGUUCUGACCCAUCAUCAUCAGCUCAAAAGGAUAGGAUAAUUAUUGUGGCCAACCAGCUUCCCAUAAGAGCUCAGAGAAAAAGUGAUAGUAGUAAGGGAUGGACUUUCAAUUGGGAUGAUAAUUCACUUCUUCUCCAGUUGAAGGAUGGUUUGGGUGAUGAUGACCUUGAGGUCAUAUAUGUGGGGUGUCUCAAGGAGGAUAUUCAUCCAAAUGAGCAAGAUGAGGUCUCGCAGAUACUCCUUGAGACAUUUAAGUGUGUUCCGACUUUUAUCCCACCCGAUCUGUUUAGCAGGUACUAUCAUGGGUUCUGUAAACAGCAGCUGUGGCCGUUGUUCCAUUAUAUGCUGCCCUUGUCACCAGAUCUUGGUGGCAGGUUUAAUCGCUCAUUAUGGCAGGCUUAUGUUUCAGUUAAUAAGAUUUUUGCUGAUAGGAUAAUGGAAGUGAUUAAUCCUGAAGAUGAUUUUGUAUGGGUCCAUGAUUAUCAUUUGAUGAUUCUGCCCACCUUCCUGAGGAAGAGGUUCAAUAGGGUGAAGCUCGGGUUUUUUCUACAUAGUCCAUUUCCUUCAUCAGAGAUAUACAAGACCUUGCCCAUAAGGGAAGAAAUUUUGCGAGCUCUACUGAACUCAGAUUUGAUUGGGUUCCAUACUUUUGACUAUGCAAGGCAUUUCCUCUCCUGUUGCAGUCGAAUGCUAGGCCUAUCUUAUGAAUCUAAAAGGGGUUACAUAGGCCUUGAAUAUUACGGGCGGACUGUGAGUAUCAAGAUUCUUCCAGUUGGUAUUCAUAUGGCGCAGCUUCAGUCAGUCUUGAGUUUAAGAGAGACGGAGGUAAAAGUUGCUGAGCUUAUUAAGCAGUUUCAAGAUAAGGGGAGGACAAUGUUGCUUGGGGUUGAUGACAUGGACAUAUUUAAAGGCAUCAGUUUGAAGUUAUUGGCGAUGGAACAACUGUUGCAGCAACAUCCAGAGAAGCAAGGGAAGGUUGUUUUGGUGCAGAUAGCCAAUCCAGCAAGGGGGAAAGGGAAAGAUGUGAAGGAAGUUCAGGAAGAAACUUACUCAACUGUUAAGAGAAUUAAUGAGGCAUUUGGGCAGCCAGGAUAUGAACCAGUUAUCUUGAUCGACCAGCCACUGAAGUUCUAUGAAAGGGUUGCUUAUUAUGUAGUUGCUGAGUGUUGUUUGGUCACAGCAGUUAGGGAUGGAAUGAAUCUCAUUCCGUAUGAAUACAUAAUUAGCCGACAAGGAAAUGAAAAACUAGAUGAAGUUUUAGGAUUGAAACCUUCCAGUCCAAAAAAGAGCAUGUUAGUUGUCUCAGAGUUCAUAGGGUGCUCGCCAUCCCUGAGUGGAGCAAUCAGAGUUAACCCUUGGAACAUUGAUGCAGUUGCUGAAGCUAUGGACUCUGCUCUUGUUAUGGCUGAACCAGAAAAACGGCUGAGGCAUGAGAAACACUACAAGUAUGUAAGCACACAUGAUGUAGGCUAUUGGGCUCGUAGUUUUCUGCAGGAUUUGGGUAGAACAUGUAAGGAUCAUGUAAGGCGGAGAUGCUGGGGUAUUGGAUUUGGCUUAAGUUUUAGGGUGGUGGCGCUGGAUCCAAAUUUCAGGAAGUUGUUAAUGGAGCAUAUAGUUUCAGCUUACAAAAGGACAACAAUUCGGGCCAUCCUUCUGGAUUAUGAUGGCACUUUGAUGCCUCAGAAUUCAAUUGAUAAGAAGCCUAGCUCUAAAACGAUUGAAAUCCUGAAUACGUUGUGCAGAGAUAAGAACAACACGGUUUUCAUUGUCAGUGCUAGAAGUCGAAACAAGCUAGAAGAAUGGUUUUCAUCUUGUCAAAAGCUUGGACUUGCAGCAGAACAUGGCCAUUUCCUGAGGUAUGUAUUGAUGAUUGUUUCAAGUACAAUUCCACUUCACAUUGACAUUGGUCAGAUAAAUAAUUUAUUUGUUGAACCUUGUGAUUUGUUUUUCCAUUUUAAGGAUUAGGAGAGAUGAGGAGUGGGAAACUUGCGUACCAACAGUGGAAUGUGGGUGGAAACAGAUUGCAGAGCCUGUUAUGAAACUUUACACAGAAACAACUGAUGGAUCAGUAAUUGAAAUCAACGAGACUGCGAUGGUAUGGUGUUAUGAAGAUGCAGAUCCAGAUUUUGGAUCCUGUCAAGCAAAAGAACUUCUUGAUCAUCUUGAAAGUGUCCUUGCCAAUGAGCCUGUUACGGUCAAGAGUGGUCAGAACAUUGUUGAAGUUAAGCCACAGGUACAUAUAGUUUCGUCUGUUGUUUCUACUGGAUAGCUCUUAUUUCUUCAAUGAAAAUGAUUCUAUUGUGCAACUCUUAUGUCUUCAAUGCAAAUUUAUAUUUACUGGUCUAUGUUAAAUGGCUUUGUAGCAUUACCAGUUGUUAAUGUUGUUGGUUGAAUUCAUUUGGAAAUCGAGAAGAACAAACAUUUUUGAGCCUAAUUUCCUAAGGUUUUAUACAGAUUAGCAACUGCAAAUCAAUUACCUCUUCAUGAUUCAUGAGAUAGAAAGAACAACUAUGCUUUUAUAUUUAUUUCCUGCACUUUUCAACUAAAAUUAUGUCUCCAUCUUCUUCCUGGAUUAGAGUCAUUUCUGUGAUCGCAUCUUAACCUCAAAGAACUUAACAGAUCCAAGCUUGCAAGUAUUGCCAUUUUCACCUGGGACAGGCAAAAAGUAGGUUCUCUUUUUCGAGACAUAUAAGUGCGACAUGCCAUUGCAUUAUCAUGUUUUCUAUGGGUAUUGAGUUAUCAUUUUUUUGCUAGUGGACAUGCGGUUUUUCUUUCCUUCUAAGGACAAGGAAAAGAAACUGAACAUUUGUCGUCAACCAACAGAACAAUAGUCCAAGGACUGUCAUCCUAUGUUAAGCUUUGCUGGAUAUUCUUUCCAAAUUACUCGUUGGCAAAAAAUUCUGCGCGUUCUGAUUUUUGAGGAGAUUAAACAUUGUCGAGCUUUCUUGUUUAAUGGAGUUUGCUGCAUGCUUGUUUGCAGGGUGUGAGCAAGGGUCUUGUAGCCAAACGCCUACUCUCCUCCAUGCAAGAGAGAGGAAUUUCUCCAGAUUUCGUUCUGUGUAUUGGAGACGACAGAUCUGAUGAAGACAUGUUUGAAGUCAUCACGAACUCUGUGGCAGGAACAUCUAUAGCUCCAACUGCAGAAGUCUUUGCAUGUACUGUUGGUCGAAAACCCAGCAAGGCAAAAUAUUAUCUUGAUGAUACGGCUGAAAUUGUAAGAUUGAUGCAGGGCUUGGCCUCAGUUGCAGAGCAGAUGGUGCCGCUUUAGAACCCUACGGGCUUUAAAGGGCAACACAUGAUGCAAUCUGUCAUGGAGGCUCAAUUGCUCAAUCGUGCUUGUUUCGUUUGUAGGAGUACUUUUUAUGUUUUCCACUAGCACCUGUAAAUUAAGAAUAGACUAAGAGAAGCUGCACAACGGUGCUUUUUUGUUUUUCCCUUGUUCUUAGUUUUUUCCUCAGCUAGUGCUUGAUCAUCAUCUGAGAAAGUUGUACAUAUGAAAUGGAAAACGUGCACUGAUUUAUUUUGUUUGUUUUUAGACUUUCAUUGAGGAGUGCUACUUUUCUUGUUUCCAGCGGUGGUCAUAUUUGCCUUUGUGCUAUUUGCUCAAAAUGAGGAUCAAUGACAGCUAUUGGAGCUAAAUGCAAUGUCUCAAACAACAAUGGAAGAAACAAAAUUUUCUUUCUGGUGCUUUUUCAUUGCCUUGAGAGCUUUCUUUACCCUUUCAUUUGUGUACCUCUUGUAGUAGAUAUGAUCUCUUGCGUAUUGAUAUGGUUUCUGGGAGGCUGCAGAUGAAAUCUCUCAGAUGGGGUAAACAUUAGACAAUAUUGGAUAGAGGUUGAAGACGGGCGAAAUCUAUGCUACUUGAUGACAUAUUUUAAACCGAGCAUGUUUAGAAUUUUAAUAAUUUUAGAAAUUGAUUUGUUAUUUGGUAACUAUAUUAGAUUUGGUGUUACACUUGGUUUAGGAAAUAGAGUUGAGUCAUGUUUUGGUAUUAUAAUUGUUGGGCUUUGAGAGAGCCAAACUCGGGGAGAAUUUAACCAUGAGUUAGAAUGGAAACCACAACCAUGGGUUUGACACCACAUUCAACCCAAAACCUUAAGGCAUUGGAUCUAUGGAUCAUUCUCACUUAUAUGUUCCUUAUUCUACUCAUCUCUUUUCGAUGUGGGACAUUGAUUCACACUUGAUAUCCCAACAAUCUCCCCCUCAAUUGUGAAUCUCUUCCACAUCGGACUUCUCUCCCUAACCCAUCCACUCCAUCAAACCCACUUCAAUUUGGAGUGUACGAUUCUUACUCAAGAGCCCACAUGCCCUUGCCUCACUGCAGGUCUGCAUGAUUUUUUUUUCCCCGCUCUUAUCCAAGCCACGCCUUACCACUCCCACUGGCUUUUUACUCUGGAGUCACUACCCAGCCGAACCAUCGGCUCUGAUACCACUUGUUGGGCUUUGAGAGUGCCAAAUUCGGGGAGAAUUUAACCAUGAGUUAGAAUGGGAACCACAACCAUGGAUUUGACACCACAUUCAACCCAAAACCUUAAGCCAUUGGAUCUAUGGAUCAUUCCCACUUAUAUGCUCCUCAUACUACUCAUCUCUUUCCGAUGUGGGACAUUGAUUCACACUUGAUAUCCCAACAAUAAUUAGAAUAGGAUUUGUGGUUAUGUUUCUCUAUUUAAGGACCUGGAGUUCUAAGUUUGUAGUUGCGGAAAAUUAGUAGAUUGAAGUAGAAUAUUUUGUUUCCUCCCGACGCCCGUCCCUUUCUUAUUGUUUAUUAUUUAUAAGAUUUUAAUGUUAUUUCUUUGUAAGAUUUUAAUGUUACUUCUGUUGUGUGAUUUUUUGUACUAAUACUGCUUCGUUUGAAAAUCCAUGUAGGGAUUUCUUCUAUACUGUUUGAUUUGUUCUUUUGGUCUUUGCUACUUUUUAUUUAUGGUAUAACACCAUUUUGCAUUAUAAAUCAUAAAAAGUUCGUGUAUUUUUUCUAUUGGUAAUAAAAGUUUGUUUAUCGUGGAAUGCAAGAAAUCUUGCCAUUUGCUGCCUCUGUUAAAAGUAGUAAAUUGUAUCCUAUAUAUGACAAGAAUCAUACUUAUAUAUAUUCCAAAUAUGACACUUACAAACAAAACAAAUUUAUAAUUUAAAAGAGGAAGACAUUUUUUGUGGCAUUUCUGCAACUGAAAGAGGAAUGCACAAACCAAUUAAGUGAAAAACCCCAGCAUAAUUAAAGAAGCACUUCUAGCUCCAAACCUAACUAGACCAAGAAGUGGUGGGAAGAAUAAUAGUCACUUCAGCUUUUGUCACCACUCUAAGUACAAGUAAGUUGGUCCAUUAAUUGUUGUGCCCACUAAAAUUAGGCAUGCAGGAAUAUAUACCUUCUCAAUCUUGAACUUGAGAAUGUGAGCUCUAACCUCAAGUGAAACAAAAUCCCAUAUAGUGUAAUUUUUUUUGGUUUCUUUUUAAAAAAAAAAUCCAAUUGAAAAACCCAAAUUCAUUAUUAGUUACAUCAAAAAAAAAAAAUUUUAAAAUUAUUCUUCAACACUAAGGGUAAUGAUUGGUUCCGGAGUGCACAAUUAAGUUGCUCAGUGAUAGGUCAAGGUGUACCAUUGGGCACUUUUUAAUUCUUUUCCUUUUAAUUGACUAUUUGCAUCUGAGACUCUAACCUCCAAUAUCUUUAUCCCAUAGGCUCUUUACAAAUUACAAAAAAAAAAAAAAAAAAAAUUAUUUGAAUAAGGCACCACUAAUUUAUAUUAUCCAUCCAUUAAGUAUCUUUUAAUUUGACCUCAUUAGCCUAGCCUUUCAUCAUUUGAAAGCUUAUCUAUUGCUUUCUCUAGAAGAACAAUGGAGAAAGGAAAAGGUUAUGGUAUUAUACUGAGACUGUGAAAAGUAACGAAAAAUUAUGUAAAUAUCAAAUUAUGUAUUUUUUAAAACGAGAUUGAUAUGAUAUUUCAAUGAAUGAAUUACUCCCUCAAAGUAAUUUUUAUCAAAUUUUCACUUCGAACUCUAGAAAUUUGACUGUUAUGCAAAUUUACACCUUAUUUUUGAACACUUGCUCAAGGUUUAAAACAAUCAUCCCAUGGACAAACAAGAUUCUAAGAUUUGGAAUACAAAAGUAGUAUAACAUAAAAGGGCUAAAUUUUGCAAAAAUGUAUGAUUCAUUUUUUUUUUUUACAAAAAAAAAAAUAUGAUUCAUUAGCUGGAAGAAAGUUGAAGAUUAUUAAAUAUCAACAAACUAUGUACACCAGUUACAGUGGACACUGGAUAGUGGGGCAGUGUAUAUAACAAGCUUUAAGGGAACUCCACCCAUAAUAAAGAUAACAAAAAGAAUAGUUUGUUAGCUGUCUUCUGCCCUUUUCAUUUCAUUUUUCUACUUAAGGGCCUUCACCUUUUGGGAUUCAAGUGUCAAAAACUGGUAAAAUUUCUUGAAACUACUCUUGAAUUCUCAUUAAUGCUGUGUCCUUUGCCAGUUUCUUGGUUUCAAAUCUUUAUCUAGCUCUUGCUGAUUGGUUACUGGCUGGUCUGGUAAUUAUCAGUCAUAUUCUUGAAAC